rnacentral:rRNA from 1 species
UCUCAGCACACCAGUGAGAACGCCCUCUAGCCUCCACCAGGCCAAGGAGCCGGCAUCAGACACAAUUCCAGUCCACAACGUCUAGUCUCACCACACCCCCAAGGGCAUUCAGCAGUGAUAAAUCUUGAGCAUAAGCGACAGCUUGACUCAGUCAGGGAAAAGAGAGCCGGCCAAUCUGGUGCCAGCCGCCGCGGCUACCCCAUGGGGCUCAAGUUGAUAGUCACCGGCGUUAAGCGUGAUUAAAGUCAAAUUAGAUUAGGGCCAAAUUAAUACUUAGUAGUCUAAAGCUCGUUAUUAAGAAGAACACAAACGAAAGUUGCCCUAACUUAACACUUGAAUACACGACAGUUGGGAACAAACUGGGAUUAGAUACCCCACUAUGCCCAACCGUAAACAAUUAACUUACACCAAUAAGCGCCAGGGAACUACGAGCAAUGCUUAAAACCCAAAGGAUUUGACGGUGUCCCACCCCACUAGAGGAGCCUGUUCUAUAAUCGAUGAUCCCCGAUAUACCCCACCACUCCUUGCUUAUCAGUCUGUAUACCUCCGUCGAAAGCUUACCGUAUGAACGUCUACAGUAGGCUCAAGGACUCAAUACGUCAGGUCAAGGUGCAACUUAAGGAAUGGGAAGUAAUUGGCUACAAUUUCUAACCUAGAACAAACGAAAGACUAUGUGAAACCAUAGUAACGAAGGCGGAUUUAGCAGUAAAAAGAAAAUAGAGAGUUCUUUUUAACCCGGCUCUGGGACGCGUA